UUUGCCAAGAAACAUACUUCUUUAGAACUUCUUAGUUCUGUCUUUAAUUUUAUGAUGUACAGUACUAGACGAAUGAAGAGCUUGUGAAGUAUGUUAAUGAAAGUGAAAGACUUCACAGUGGGCAGCUGCACUGCAAACCCCACAGCUAAACAGCAUUAUUUAAUGAAAGAAUGGAGGCUGGUGGAAGAGGACACUCUUGUGAGGCCUACAUUGCUGAGACUAGAUAGAUCCUAAGCAGAGGCAAGAAGGAUAUACAGUCAUAGCAGGAUUCAAUUUGGCGGCAACAGUGC
rnacentral:lncRNA from 1 species